UUUUAUGGCGGCUGUGCGCGGGAGACUUUCGAGUCUGCCGGGGUUCCUAGGGCCCGGUCUGCGAACCUGCGUACAGCUGCCACCCUC
rnacentral:antisense_RNA from 1 species